AGAUUACAGGGUAACUGCGCAGAUCAGACAUACUGCGGAUAACUGCAGAUACCUGGAUGACUGCGCAGGCGGACCGUACUGCAGAUAACCACCCGCAACUGCGCAGGCCGGUCGGUAAGGCAGAUAACCACUGUUCCAGCUGUACCAUGGAUAACCGGGUAACUACGUAGGCUGAUCAUACUACGGAUAACCAGGUAACUGCGCAGGCCGGCCAUGCCACGGAGGCUGGCCUUAAAGCGGAUAACCGGGUAACUGCACAGGCCAGCUGUGCCAUGCAUAACCAGUAACUGCAUAGGCUGGCCGUACCACAGAUAACCACGGAUACCUGGGUAACUGCGCAGGCAGGCCGUACUGCGGAUAGCCAGGUAACUGCGCAGGCUGGCUGUACCACGGAUAAUCGCGGAUAAUUGGUAACUGCGGCCGCCCCACAGAUAAUUGGGUAACUGCGCAGGCAGGCCAUACCACGGAUAACUGGAUAGACGGAUAACUGCGCAAGCCGGCCAUACCGGCCCGGCCGGGUAACUGCAUGGGCAGGCCUAUGUACUGCGGAUAAACGGAUAACCGGGUGACUGCCCAGGCAGGCCGUACUGCGGAUAACUGGAUAAUCGGGUAACUGCGCAGACCAUCCGUACCUCCGAAAACUGGGUAACUGCGCAGGCCUACCACGGAUAAGUGGGUAACUGCGUGGGAUAACUGGAUAAUCGGGUCACUGCGCAGGCAGGCUGUGCCACGGAUAACCGGACAACCGGGUAACUGCACGGAUAGGCUUUAUCACGGGUAACUGGAUAACCGGGUAAUUGCGCAGGCUGGCAGUACCACGGAUAACCGGAUAACUGCGCAGGCAGGCCUACGUACUGCGGAUAACCGAGUGACUGCGCAGGUAGGCGGUACAGCCCACAUUCCAACGCAAACACUGGCCUUCGACUGCGCAUGCGCACAUUCAACUACUGGUUGCUGCAUUGCGCAAACACGCCGGUGACUCAGCUGGUUCAAGCUUUCUAGGCUGGUGGAAAGGAAAGUCAACUGGGCUGAAUGGUGCCACCCUGAAGUUGCUGUCCAGGAAGGUAACGAACAUUAAACAGCAGAACAACUUAGCAGCGGGCGACAUUUUCAAUCCACAGCGUGAGAAAAAGAGAUUAUCGCGAGAUCCGGGAAGAGCCCCCCCCCCCCCCCCCCCCCCCCCCCCCCCCCCCCCCGCUCUGCGGUAAAAUGGCAUCACGGCAGACCGCGAUUCCUGAGAAACUCAGCCGAAAACAAUACAAGGCGGCAAUGAAGAAGGAGAAACGCAAGAAACGUCGGCAGAAAAUGGCUCGGCUGAGAGCUCUGGAAGCCCCACCAGAGGAGGACGAUGAUGUUUCUGCUAACGAAGAACUUGCAGAGCGAUUACUGGAGAUAGAGCGGCAAAGAUUACAUGAAGAGUGGCUGCUGAGGGAGGAGAAGGCGCAAGAAGAAUUCAGAAUAAAGAAGAAAAAGGAAGAGGCCGCUAGAAAACAGAAGGAAGAACAGGAGAGACAAAUAAAGGCCGAGUGGGAAGAACAACAGAAAAAACAGAGAGAGGAGGAGGAGCAGAAGCUACAGGAGAAGAGAGAGAGGGAGGAAGCGGUGCAGAAAAUGCUGGACCAGGCUGAAAAUGAGCGCAUUUGGCAGAACCCGGAACCACCCAAGGAUUUAAGGCUGGAGAAAUAUCGACCCAGUUGUCCCUUCUACAAUAAAACGGGAGCGUGCAGAUUUGGUAACAGAUGUUCACGGAAACACGACUUUCCCACGUCAAGUCCCACCCUUCUUGUGAAGAGUAUGUUUACAACGUUUGGAAUGGAGCAGUGCAGAAGGGAUGACUAUGACUCAGACGCAAACCUGGAGUACAGUGAGGAGGAGACCUACCAGCAGUUCUUGGAUUUCUACCAUGACGUGCUGCCGGAGUUCAAGAACGUGGGAAAGGUGAUUCAGUUCAAAGUAAGCUGCAACCUGGAACCUCAUCUGCGGGGCAAUGUGUAUGUUCAGUACCAGUCGGAAGAAGAAUGCCAAGCAGCCCUCUCUCUCUUUAAUGGAAGAUGGUACGCAGGACGACAGCUCCAGUGUGAAUUCUGUCCAGUGACCCGGUGGAAGGUUGCAAUUUGUGGUUUAUUCGAAAUGCAAAAGUGUCCAAAAGGAAAGCACUGCAACUUCCUUCAUGUGUUCAGAAAUCCCAACAACGAAUUUAGAGAAGCUAACAGAGACAUCUACAUGUCUCCUCCGGCUUGGACUGGCUCCUCUGGUAAAAACUCAGACAGGAGGGAAAGGAAGGACCAUCAUGAGGAAUACUAUAGCAAGUCAAGAAGCUACCACUCUGGUUCAUACCACUCCUCCAAGAGAAACAGGGAGUCCGAGAGGAAGAGUCCUCACAGGUGGAAGAAAUCUCACAAACAGACAACGAAGAGUCAUGAGAGGCACAGUUCAAGAAGAGGAAGAGAAGAGGACAGCAGUCCAGGUCCACAAAGCCAGAGCCACAGAACCUGAGCCCAGCUAAGGCAGCACCACUUGGACCCAAGACUGAUAUCAGGCUUGGCAAGGGAGUUCAUUUUACAAAUGAACAAAACUUCAUUACAGAAUAAAAACCUAACACAGUAUCCUUCAGAUUCCCCAAAAUAUUCAAAACGAAACUGAUUACAAAGGAAAGGCAUGGUGACUCCAUCUAAUUCCCAACCAAGUUACAAAACCUUGUGGCUUUAAGAAACAGAAACAGGUAUUCAGUAUUUCUUUGUCUGUUAUAAUGCUUAUAAUGCUGUUAUAAUGCUUAGUAUCAUGUUAUUGAUGUUAUUUUCCAUACAGUUUAAGCUGGCUUCCCAUGUUGUUUUCCUGUAAUAACUUUACAUUGUGAUGCUUUGUCAUUAAUAUAUUUAUUAACAUCGUUUUUAUAUUGUCUGAAUCUGUUUUACAAAGAACACAUAAGAGUACAGAAACACUAAUGCUCCUUGUUUUUAUAGAAAGGCUCUCACUAUGUAUCCCUGGCUGGCUUGGAACUUGCUAUAUAGACUAACUAGGCUGGCCUUGGAUUCACAAAGAUUUGCCCAUAUCAGCUCCUGGGGUCACAGAAAUAUACCACCUCCCAAAUCCAAUGGUCAGAUUUUUUUUAAAGCCUUCUCUGUGUGUGUGUGUGUGUGUGUCUGCACAAAUGCUGUAACCCCUGAACCAUCUUUCUAGCUCAUAAUGAUAUUUUCUUAAUCAUAGGUCUCAUAGUCUUGAGAACAAAUUAGUGAAAAUUUUAGGUUCUCUACUAAGUAACCAACUUAAUAUAAUUUACACAUAUUAUUUCCAAAUACAACAUUGUAAAUUUAAGAAUAAAUGUUUGAGGUAAGAGAGUUAUCUUUAUGUAAAUGUUCAGAUUUUAAAUACUAUAGGCUCUUAAUAUCAAACAUCUGUCACAGCUACUGUUACUAUUUUGCCAACAGCUGCUAAAGAUAGGAAGCAAAUGAAUGAACAUGUUACCAUGUUUUGGCAAAGCAGUAUUUAUCAAAUCAUGAACAAUGAGGAGUGUAACUGAGCUGCAGAGCACUUGCCAGUAUGCUCAUCUCAUGCCUGUGGGUCUAAUGACCCCCAGUAACAGCAAACAAUGAAAACAGUAAGGGUGCGAAUACAGUGAGGGGCAGAAUGGGAGCCCCAGGCCACAUCAGUCCUGCAGCCAGAAUGCCUGACUUGGACUUGGAGUAUCAGAUUUUCUCCACACUGGAAUUGUACUUUUACAUUGCCCAAGCUAGCUCUAAACUGUCUCAGCUUCCCAAUAGCUAGGACACAGGCAUAUGCCACUGUGCCCAACUAUGCUGACCUUUUCAAUGCAACUGGCACAUUUAAGCACUACCCAUUCAUUCAAAUGUUCUACAGAUCUUUACCAAGUGCCUAUCGCAUGCCAGAAAUAAGUAUUAAGGGUAGGGGGAAAAAAAAAGUUUGCCUUUUUUACAAAUGAACAAGCUAGUAAGAACAGUAUAAAAACUCAGGUAAUAUUAUUAAUUCUUCAAAGCAAAUUAUAAAUGUGAGCAGAAAGAAUUAUAUAAAAAUUAGACAGUGUGCUGUGACUGGUGGUACAUACCUUUAAUCCCAGCACUUGGGAGGAUCUCUGUAAAUUUGUGGCCAGUCUGAUCUCAUAGUGAGUUCCAGGCACAUAGUGACACUAUAUUUUUAAAAACCAAUUAAUAGAAGCUGGAGAGAUGGCUCAGUGGUUAAGAGCACUAGCUACAUAUACCAUAACUACUUUGUUAAUUUUACAGCUCCUUGGGCAGUACCCAGAAAUCAAAACUAGAGUGGGGGACAGCAAGAUAGUUCAUCGGAUAAAGGUGCAAGUGCCAAGCCUGAAGAUGCGGGUUUGAUCCUUGGAACCUACAUGGUAGAAGGAAAACAUUGACUCCUAUAAUUCCAACAUCCACGUGUGCACCAUGGUGUACUAGUGUGAAUGAAUGGGUUGCUUCAUAUAGCCAUAAGCAGAUUAAAUGUUUGCGCUUUUGUGAUUAA